UUAAAAACAAAUGAGAAAGCUUUCAGGAAAGAAGCAGAGCAAUGGUUAGUCGGGGGUGAAUCCAAACGAUUUAGCUUUCUCCUUUUCUUAAGGACUGAGAGAAGCAAGAGCAAAGAGUGAUGCCCAUUGGAUACUUAAUAUGGAGCUGAGAGGGAAGACCAGCAUUAAAUAGCUUUGAGUACGUACGGCUUCUUGGUUGCAAAGUAAGGCAGCAAAAACGUCCGGUGCCCCGUCUCCCCAGAAACGUCGGCGGCAAGUGUGGCUUUGGGCAGAGACGGCCUUGUCUAACUGCUGACUGGACUUCAGCUCCAGAUGGGACAAAAGAUGGGGGUCUCUGGCCAGAGGCCAGCUGGCUUCAAGACUACCAAUCGCCAUCGUUUGGCCCUGCCUGGGUCAAAGCAUUAAGAUCCAGAUGAAACAUGGAAAAGCCCCAACUUUUAAAGGAGCAACAAAGCAGAGUGCUAGUGAUUUCAUGAGGAUAUUAUUGUGUGCUUUCUUAACAAGCCUGACACUCGCCCGGCUGGAUGCUCACCCAAGUGACCAGUUGGGUUUGGAGAAAGGGAUACUGAAAAAGUAUGAAGCCUUUUUAAAUUGUACAAAUGCUAAGGGAUCCACCGCAGAGUGCCUGUUCACUGGGAACAGGACACACAUGAUACAACAAUCGCUGAUUAGCCUGUAGGUUUGCUGUGUUUUUGCCUCAUAAUCCCAUUUGCUCUAUUAGGGUGCAUAGAAUGAUUUUUUAAAGCCAUUUUAUAAACCAUUUAAAAUGCUUUAUAUAGUUGUAAAAUGAGAUGCAAUGACUUUUGAGAUGCCAGAGCUUAAACCUGAAAGGUACCUGACAUGAGAAAGGGUGGAGUACUCAUCAUUGUUCAUAGAGCUUAGAAAUAACAAUAAUCAUAAUAAUAGCAGUAAUAAUAGUUAAGCACUUUCUAUGUGUCAAACACUUUACUAAGUGGUAGGGUAGAUACAAGAUAAUCAGAUUGGUCAUUGUAUGAAACCAGACACAGCUGACAAAGUUGAGGUUCAGACCCACAUCUCUGGUUCAUAAUCACCUAUGUCUUUGAUGUGUGUAUAUUUGUUAGGGUCUGGUGAGCCCGUCCUAAUGUUUUUACGUCUCGUGAUUGACACUAUUUCCUUUAUCAACUUUGAACAAAAUAUCUACUGAUCAUU